GGGGAAGCCAGCCGACAGCUGUGAGCAGAAGUCACUGCCGGGCCUGCAGGGAGUCCCUAGCUGCCAUCUUGUGCCGUUAAUGUGAGGAACUGGCUGGGUUUCCAUCCUGGACUGGAGUGGACCUGAUGGCAGCCAAGAAACCACAGCUUGGACUCAGCUACAAUCAACAGCCUUUUGUCCUACUGGUCUGGUAGGAAGGCUCGCAGCCUGUCCUCCCCUCCAUGCACCUCACUACACUGAUUGCCCAACCUGAUCGCACUUCCCCUUUCCCAUGGAUAAUAAACUGGACAUUUUCAAUUGAACUUUCACUAAACCCUCGUGGGUUGUUGGCAUCGGUUUUUGACUGUGUAUGUAAUCACCAGGGGUUAAUUUAUUUACCCGGACGGCUUAUUUUGAGGGCUUUGUGUUGUUGUCAAUGAACAACCCUGAACAGUGAUCAAGCGCUUUAUUCAAACUUCAACCGGUCAACU